rnacentral:lncRNA from 1 species
UCAUCAUAUUACUAUGUUAAUAAUACAAACUUUAAAACUUUUCUUAUGCAGCAACCAUAAUAGCAUGCUCAUAAAUUUUUUCUACCAUUAUUACACUACAAUAAAAUUCCUAACUCUAACCAAAUGCAAAUAUGAUUCAGCACAUAUAAGUUGUUAAAUGGAUUUAUUCAUAUAUACUCCUAACACUAAACAUGCAUUUAUAUCGAUAAAAAUAUUGGUAGGCAUGCCGAAGGUGUUCAAUAACUUAAACUCGCAUGACAACUUACAAGUAACAGUUUAGAUACAGUCUCAUACAUUACACUGGUAGGCAUAGGUGAAGCUGCCAAGCAAAAAUGUGAAGAAAUACUAAAACUAACUCUAACUUUCAACACUCAAAUGCCACGACUGACUGCACAAUAGUGAAUAUCAAAUUUAAAGACAAAAUAUCUCAAAUAAAUGGAAGAAAAACUGGAUAUUGCAAUAUAAAAAAAUAAGAAAAACACGUUAAACAAAAUAGUUUUGGAGUUUUUCACUUCCCCAGCCAGCAUAUUAUAACCACAUGUUUUCUUUUGUGAGAGCACAUAGAUACUGCAAAAGAGAAAGGAAAAUUAUGACGUCAACUAGAGUGAACAAUAAGAAGAUCAGUAAUAGUGAACAAUAAUGAGAAUCAGAACCAAACAACUUCCAUGAUCAGCUAUUUUCAGCUUAAAAAACCAAAAAUUCCCAUAAAAACCUUGAAGUUCUAAAACUUAAAAAGUAAUUCGAGCCAAAUAGGAAUGCAUAAAACCUUUUUUGGGGUUUUUUCAGGUAUG